rnacentral:rRNA from 1 species
GCGAGUACGCUAGAGAGUGAUCAUGGCUCAGGAAGUCGUAACAAGGUAACCGUAGAGUUUGAUCUUGGAUCACUCGAUCGUAACCCGGCCCCCGCCUCCGGUAUUCUUGGUGGAAACGCCGUCUAAUACCGGAUACGACCCGCCACCUCAUGGUGGAGGGUGGAAAGUUUUUCGGUCAGGGAUGGGCUCGCGGCCUAUCAGCUUGUUGGUGGGGUAACGGCCUACCAAGGCGAUUACGGGUAGCCGGCCUGAGAGGGCGACCGGCCACACUGGGACUGAGACACGGCCCAGACUCCUGCGGGAGGCAGCAGUGGGGAAUAUUGCGCAAUGGGCGAAAGCCUGACGCAGCGACGCCGCGUGGGGGAUGACGGCCUUCGGGUUGUAAACCUCUUUUACCACCAACGCAGGCUCGGAGUUUUCUUCGGGUUGACGGUAGGUGGGGAAUAAGGACCGGCUAACUACGUGCCAGCAGCCGCGGUAAUACGUAGGGUCCGAGCGUUGUCCGGAAUUAUUGGGCGUAAAGAGCUCGUAGGCGGCGUGUCGCGUCUGCUGUGAAAGACCGGGGCUUAACUCCGGUUCUGCAGUGGAUACGGGCAUGCUAGAGGUAGGUAGGGGAGACUGGAAUUCCUGGUGUAGCGGUGAAAUGCGCAGAUAUCAGGAGGAACACCGGUGGCGAAGGCGGGUCUCUGGGCCUUACCUGACGCUGAGGAGCGAAAGCAUGGGGGAGCGAACAGGAUUAGAUACCCUGGUAGUCCAUGCCGUAAACGUUGGGCGCUACGUGUGGGGACUUUCCACGGUUUCCGCGCCGUAACUAACGCAUUAAGCGCCCCGCCUGGGGAAGAACGGCCGCAAUGCUAAGACUCAAAGGAAUUGACCGGGGGCCCUCACAAGCGGCGAGAGCAUGUUGCUUUAUUCGACGCCUCGCGAAGAACUUUACCCAGGGUUUGACAUCACCCCCUGGACUCUCCCAAAUGUGGUGGGCCUUUUAUUUGGCGGGGUGACUAGAUGGCGCCAUGG